GUCUACCCAUCUUUCACUCUCUCUG
rnacentral:sRNA from 1 species